AUUAAUUAAUUAAUUAGGUACCAAUUUUUUGGGCGUUAUGAGGGUGCUAAUCCUUCCUCAUACGUAAUCGACUCCCGGACCCGUUUUUCUAAAAUUCGUAGACCAAAGUCGUUUUUAGGUGACCCAAUCACACCUUAAUAAAAGAUUGGUGGCGACUCCCAAUUUUCAUUUUUUAAAGUCGACAACCUACAAUUUUUGUUUUUCAAAAAAAUAGUUUCGACAACUAGCAUUCAUGUUAUUUUUUAAUUACUAAAUAAUAUUAGGAUGCUUCUUUUCGGG
rnacentral:lncRNA from 1 species